AAACUGGAGGAUAAGGAAAUUACCUCAUACAUCCUCGUUGGACUCGACACCACCUUCGACCCUGUCGUGUCCUCCAUGGCAUCCCGCGUCGAGCCUCUCACCCUCAGCGACCUCUACACCCAGCUACUGAGUUGGGA
rnacentral:snoRNA from 1 species